UGCUCCACAUUCUUGUCAACAUUUGGUGUUAAAAGGGCAGCCAUUCUGAGCAGCUGAAGCCUUUUAUUACCAAGUUGCUGAAAAGCCAUGCAGAUGCAUUGAUUUCCUGUGGAACUAGGACUACCCAUGCCAAUCACUUAGGGGAAAUACAGCGUUCUCCCUCGGAGAGGACGUCUUCUCCAUUCUCCAACGCGCGUUUGAAAGCAGGGCCAUGGUGCGCUUGGGAGGUUCUGCCACGCCGUUUCACUGCUGCAUCUGCAUCCCACCAUGGAAGGCUUCCGAGAAGCUCUGCUCUGUGCUUUUCCCAGCAACACAGAACGUUUCCAGCUUUGGCAUUAAAAAUUACUCCUUCCUGCGGCUUCACCUUAAACAGAAAGAAAGCAAAGUGACUCACGAACCAAGACUAAUCGGGGACGCCCUCCUCAAAUGUUCCUGAUCAAGG
rnacentral:lncRNA from 1 species